GUAAGAGGGGAACCUUCACCUGCAGUAGGGCCUGUGUUGCUGGGCCUGGCUUUCAGGAGUGUUCUGAUCCCCAGAUCCUUUUCCCUCUCACUAUUGUGGUUAUUUUGCAGGUAACUGCCCAGAGGGCCCCACCGACUCAUGGUUAGGUCUGCUGCAUAUUCACUGCCUUGAACUGGAACUCCACCUGGACCUAUAACAUUUGCUGUCUCCACACUGUUCCUCUUUGGACAACAUCAAACUCCACUGUCUCAUCACCUUCACUGUAGAGUUGCUCAGAGGACUGUAAUGUUCGCAUUUCAACAGAUGAAUAGAAGUUUGGAUGCUUCUUGCCUACUAAUGACACCCACACAAAAGAAUAAUAGUUCCUACCUUCACCACUCUCCAUGCCUUCUACAAAAACUCCCCCGCACUGAGGGAGAAUCCAGUACCGGCGUCUGUAACGAUCCUGGCCGAACAUCA